rnacentral:rRNA from 1 species
GAGUUUGAUCCUGGCUCAGAGUGAACGCUGGCGGCGUGCCUAAUACAUGCAAGUCGAACGAUGAAGCUUCUAGCUUGCUAGAAUGCUAAUUAGUGGCGCACGGGUGAGUAACGCAUAGGUCAUGUGCCUCUUAGUUUGGGAUAGCCAUUGGAAACGAUGAUUAAUACCAGAUACUCCCUACGGGGGAAAGAUUUAUCGCUAAGAGAUCAGCCUAUGUCCUAUCAGCUUGUUGGUAAGGUAAUGGCUUACCAAGGCUAUGACGGGUAUCCGGCCUGAGAGGGUGAACGGACACACUGGAACUGAGACACGGUCCAGACUCCUACGGGAGGCAGCAGUAGGGAAUAUUGCUCAAUGGGGGAAACCCUGAAGCAGCAACGCCGCGUGGAGGAUGAAGGUUUUAGGAUUGUAAACUCCUUUUGUUAGAGAAGAUAAUGACGGUAUCUAACGAAUAAGCACCGGCUAACUCCGUGCCAGCAGCCGCGGUAAUACGGAGGGUGCAAGCGUUACUCGGAAUCACUGGGCGUAAAGAGCGCGUAGGCGGGAUAGUCAGUCAGGUGUGAAAUCCUAUGGCUUAACCAUAGAACUGCAUUUGAAACUACUAUUCUAGAGUGUGGGAGAGGUAGGUGGAAUUCUUGGUGUAGGGGUAAAAUCCGUAGAGAUCAAGAGGAAUACUCAUUGCGAAGGCGACCUGCUGGAACAUUACUGACGCUGAUUGCGCGAAAGCGUGGGGAGCAAACAGGAUUAGAUACCCUGGUAGUCCACGCCCUAAACGAUGGAUGCUAGUUGUUGGAGGGCUUAGUCUCUCCAGUAAUGCAGCUAACGCAUUAAGCAUCCCGCCUGGGGAGUACGGUCGCAAGAUUAAAACUCAAAGGAAUAGACGGGGACCCGCACAAGCGGUGGAGCAUGUGGUUUAAUUCGAAGAUACACGAAGAACCUUACCUAGGCUUGACAUUGAGAGAAUCCGCUAGAAAUAGUGGAGUGUCUAGCUUGCUAGACCUUGAAAACAGGUGCUGCACGGCUGUCGUCAGCUCGUGUCGUGAGAUGUUGGGUUAAGUCCCGCAACGAGCGCAACCCCCUUUCUUAGUUGCUAACAGGUCAUGCUGAGAACUCUAAGGAUACUGCCUCCGUAAGGAGGAGGAAGGUGGGGACGACGUCAAGUCAUCAUGGCCCUUACGCCUAGGGCUACACACGUGCUACAAUGGGGUGCACAAAGAGAAGCAAUACUGCGAAGUGGAGCCAAUCUUCAAAACGCCUCUCAGUUCGGAUUGUAGGCUGCAACUCGCCUGCAUGAAGCUGGAAUCGCUAGUAAUCGCAAAUCAGCCAUGUUGCGGUGAAUACGUUCCCGGGUCUUGUACUCACCGCCCGUCACACCAUGGGAGUUGUGUUUGCCUUAAGUCAGGAUGCUAAACUAGCUACUGCCCACGGCACACACAGCGACUGGGGUGAAGUCGUAACAAGGUAACCGUAGGUGAACCUGCGGUUGGAUCACC